ensembl:lncRNA
CCCGGGCGCGGAGCGGGGCCACAGCCGUCGGUGCUGCCGCCGCGUUCCCGUGGCGGUGCUUCCCCCGCUGCCUCCGGGUUCCGAGGGGGGUGCGAGGGGUUUUGGGUGGAAAAAUGAUGAGGGGGCUGCUGCGAGGAGGCAAAAUUCGUUGAGAAUCUGUCGAGAGCCGCCUGUCCGCCCCUUCAGUGGGGCCGUUUUCCCUCUGCUGCUCGGUGGGCGCACUGCGAUGGAGACGCGGUUCUCUCUGCCAGGGGUUUGCACCGGCCGCCCGCUGACAGCCGUCGGUUGGUGACAGCCGCCGUCCGGUGACAGCCGCAGACCUGUGACCACCGCAGCCCGGUGACAGCCGCCGUCCGGGAGGGACCGGCGGAAAGGAGCGGAGCGGCGCGGAGCGGGGCGGGAGGG